UACGGAGGGUGCGAGCGUUAAUCGGAAUUACUGGGCGUAAAGGGUGCGUAGGUGGUUUGAUAAGUUAUCUGUGAAAGUCCUGGGCUUAACCUAGGGAGGUCAGAUAAGACUGUUGAGCUAGAGUAUAGGAGAGGGUAGUGGAAUUUCCGGUGUAGCGGUGAAAUGCGUAGAGAUCGGAAGGAACACCAGUGGCGAAGGCGGCUACCUGGCCUAAUACUGACACUGAGGCACGAAGCGUGGGAGCAAACAGG
rnacentral:rRNA from 1 species